rnacentral:rRNA from 1 species
UACGAAGGGGGCUAGCGUUGCUCGGAAUCACUGAGCGUAAAGGGUGCGUAGGCGGGUCUUUAAGUCAGGGGUGAAAUCCUGGAGCUCAACUCCAGAACUGCCUUUGAUACUGAAGAUCUUGAGUUCGGGAGAGGUGAGUGGAACUGCGAGUGUAGAGGUGAAAUUCGUAGAUAUUCGCAAGAACACCAGUGGCGAAGGCGGCUCACUGGCCCGAUACUGACGCUGAUGCACGAAAGCGUGGGGAGCAAACAGG